rnacentral:rRNA from 1 species
UACGGGGGGAGCAAGCGUUGUUCGGAUUUACUGGGCGUAAAGGGCGCGUAGGCGGCCACCGCAAGUCAAUUGUGAAAUCUCCGGGCUUAACCCGGAAAGGUCAACUGAUACUGCGGGGCUAGAGUGCGGAAGGGGCGACUGGAAUUCUCGGUGUAGCGGUGAAAUGCGUAGAUAUCGAGAGGAACACCUGCGGCGAAGGCGGGUUGCUGGGCCGACACUGACGCUGAUGCGCGAAAGCGUGGGGAGCGAACAGG